UAAAAAGAACAGAUUCAGAAGAUGAACUAAGGGAAAGAUUCAAUAAUGUUCAUCAAAAUAGCCAAGGAAAGUCGAAUUUUCGCCUUUUUUCGGGGAAGAUUGAGAGAAACUGGUCAGGAAACUUGGUACCAAAGCCUAGGUUUGAGAAAACGAGGGGUCAAUCGCUUCUGGGAAAGGAAAAUAAGGCGAAAAAAGGUUCUCAUAGGAUUCAUAACAGUGGUCCAAUGGAGUUCUUGACCGAUACGCCGAAAUUGGUGAGGAGCUCUGGGAUGAGAAGGGAAUGGAGUUUUGAGGAUUUGAGGCAGAUAAUUAAGCGUUGAUUAAUAUGUUAUUAAGGGUUGAUAGUAUGUAAAAAAUGAUCAUGUAAAUGUACCUGAUGAAACUAUGUAAUAAUCUUAUAUUAUAAAUAUAUAUGUUAUGCUUUGAUCUUCUCUCUGCAUUUCGUUGUUUGUAUAUUUACAAAGAUCAAUGCAGAUAUUGUUUGCAAAUCUGUUAGAUCCUAGGUGGUGAAAUAGGAGAACUUCCCAUCCGGUAUGCGGUAUCCGCAUUUGGGCCCAAACUAAAUCCGAAUUCGCGCCAAAAAGUCCCACAUUAAGGGUAAAGCGUUCCUUAAUAAAGGCGACUCUGUACCCAGGACUCGAACUCGAGACCUUUGGUUAAGGAUGAAUGAGUAGUAACCACUCCACCACAACCUUUGAUGGUUAGGAGAACCUUAUUUUAGUCUCUUCAUAUCAUUUACUAGCAAUUUGUUUGGAUAUCUUUUAUCUUAAUCUUGGGAAAUGAUAGUAUCCGGACCAGCCAGCUUGUACGUACCUCAGCUAAUUUUAUCAGGUAUCUGCUAUCUUCCACCUGCACAGGUGCUGAGUAACUCUGUCCACCAAAGCUUAGACAAAUGAAUAAAAAUAACAAACUAAUAUUUUUAUCUCCACUAGGACUUGAGCCUGAGACCUUGCGCUAAUUUUGGAAGAUCGUUUUUUUCUUCUUGGAAAAUGAUUUAAAACCCAAUCUUCCAAAUCCAAAUUUUCAGAAGUGUAGUUAAUUCAUCUUGUACUGGGAUAAAGUAGGCCAAAGCAGACAGAAAAAGAUAAUAGAAUUCUUUCUUAUCUGUUUAAACCUUGGUUAGACAAAGUUAUUCAGACACCUCUGUGAUGAUGGGAAAUAACAAGAAACCGGUAGAAUAAUUGAGGUAUACUAUCGUUAUUAAGUACAUAUAAUAAACCUACCAAUUAAAUUAGAAUCAUGGGAAUUUAUAGAUAGAAUCUUUACACAAAUAGCUACAUAAAUUAUACAUUGAUUAUACGCGAUUAUAUACAUAUUAUACAUUCAGCCUGCUAUUUUCAGUUUAAGCGGUUGGGUGACCAACUCGUUAGGUUAAUUUCUCUCUAUAGCUAAGUUGCACAGACUCUUCAUUUUUUAUGCCAAACUUGCUCAACACGACACUGGGACGGAUGCGGGUGUGAGAUACAUUUGGGAUUCGAUCAACCAACUUCGGAUACUUUGACCGAAGUCAAUGGACAAAUAUGAGGGGAAAUUGAGAUUUUGAUUUCUCAAAAUAAAAGAUAAAACAUAUUUAAGAUAUGGAAAAUGGCAUACCUUCAGCAUUAUAGUCCUUUUGUCUCAUAUUCGCUGCUACAAUAUACAUGGCAAAAUUAUCACUCAAAAUUUAGAAUAUCUUUACAGCUCUAUUUUUAUAAUUUUGAAUUUUCUUAGCCGAAUCCCAACGCUCGUAUCCAUACUUGGAUCCGCACCCCCGAAACUUAAAAUUAAGAUUUUGUUGAAUCCGACUCUCGGAUCCGUACCCGAAUUGUAUACCUGCACCCAAGUCCGAGCAACUGAGCUCUGUAGAUAUUGAGAGAUCAUUGACAAUCCAAAUUAGUAUCUCCUAACAGACAUUAGCAUAUCAUGUGCCAUUGGACACAAUGCCAAUGCCUUUGUGUAAGCAUAAUCAAUAAAUACUCCCCUAAGCAAACACUGAACCAUAUAAAACUUCAAACUCAAUAACUAUGCCAUUGUGUAAUUAUCCAAAUCUUUGAAGAGGCGUUCCUAGAAUUUGAAUUCAACAGCAGAUGAGACAUUUCAAUUAUCCGCGUGAUGGCGCUUUGAACCAUCAAAGAAAGCAACAAAUAUUGAAGGAUAGUUUCUUUAGUGACAAGUUGGACUAGGAAUGAUCAAUCCACAUACAACAGAUAUGUACAAAAGUACAUGUCAGAGUGUCAUGAUACAUAUCAAGAUUUGUUUCAUCGGAAGGAAGUAAGUCGAAGCAACCUAAGUUCUAGCAGCAGAAUUGUAUCGUAAAGUUACUCUCGACAUAACUUCUUACCUGACAAAACCAGGACCUGAGCAACAAAAUUGUCCGAAAGCACUGCUCAGGAUCUUCUCACUUAGUUGAACAGAGACAAAAGCUUAGACCCCUACAAGUCGUUCAUCCGAUAACUGCAAUAGCAUGCAUUGCAUCAGUUAGAGAGUGCAUGGAAAUAAACAACAAACAUGAAGAGCCUCAACAUAUAGAAAUGCAGCCCCCCCCCCCCACACACCCCCACAAACCCCAAAAAAAAA
rnacentral:lncRNA from 1 species